CAGCUGGCAGCCGUCGCAGCCAGAACCUGGCAGAGCAGGCUUCGACCCUCCCGCUGACUCGGGCCUUCAUCACCUGUCUGGGACCAGAGCGAGCCAGGCGUCGAACCACCCCUCCCUCCCGGGGUGUGUAGCACAGUGUUGUGGUCCAGUGGUGAAAACAGUUGUGAGAGUGAGUCUGUCCUGCCAAUAAACAGCCCAAGCUUCCCUCUGAGAGGUGGAGAUCCCAAGAAGACUAACCUGCUACCAUUCCAAGUAUUUCUCAGGACAUUGUUAUGAGCCACUUCACACAUGUUCCUGAUCUACAGUAAUGGCAACAAGCCAUGGAUCCACUAUGCAGUUCCACUAUGAUGCAGAAAACUUCUACAGAUGACAGGUCCACUACAAAACCAUACAAAGGCUUAUUGUUUAUGAUUACUGCAGAGUCUUUGCGCUAAAACGAUGGAGUGUGCUGGUGAUGGAAAACCUACUCUAAUCCCACUGGGGCUGGACUACAAAUUCAAUAAUCCUUUCCAGAUGUGUCAUACAACAAAACCUGUCUUCCCACACAGAAUACAGCCAAUAGUCAUGGUCAUAGUACUGGAUGACCAAGGCCAUCUCCAUCCCAUCUCCAGGCCUAAAACCUGAUUGGAAUGGAUCCAGAUAACCCAUAUCCUCCAAGAGUGCCUGAAGCUGCUGAGCCACCACCCGCUCCAACAUCUUGCCCAAAAAUGGAAGACUGGCGAUGGGAUAGUAGUUAUCCAGUAUCCCAGCAGUUCCUAUAUCUUGCAGAACUCAUCAACUAUAUGCUUCUUGCUCAGUUCAUAUACGAUGCAGAACAUCCUAUACAGAUGCCUGGAAUUAUAUUAAAGAUAUCUACUCUUCAAACAUGACUCAAGAUUCCAAGAGAAGAACACCAGAAAAGUAAUUAUGUAACUAAAUUAUGUUAAUUAACUAAAUUGUGUUAAUUUUGCUAUUUUAAUUUUUAAUUUACAUAAUUAUUUCCAAAUUAUUUACUAGAAUUGAGUAGAAUCUCUCUCUCUCUUUCCCUCUCUCUCUAUACAGUGAGAGGUUUGCUAAGAAAGUAGCAUCCCUUUUUGCUUAAGUUAUUCUUCUUUAAAUUGACUGCUGUACUCCUACGAGUGGCAUGAGAGCUGUUAUUUUCCUCCAUGAUACCUUCCUUGGAACACCAGUGUAUCAUAACGUGGUGCUAUUUUUUUCAUAAUUCCAUGGGAACUGUGGCAACCACUACUGGUCAAGCACUUCACUUUUGUGACUUGAAAAUGAGAGAGCAACACUGAGAAACCCUUGUGU